rnacentral:tRNA from 1 species
ACAAAGUUGACAGAAUUAUGUGAAUAAUUUAGGUUUAUUUUAUAAGAUAUAAAUAUCUUACUUUGUA